UGCCAGCAGCCGCGGUAAGACGGAGGGGGCGAGCGUUGUUCGGAAUUACUGGGCGUAAAGCGCGCGUAGGCGGUGCAUCAAGUGUCGAGUGAAAGCCCCCGGCUUAACCGGGGAAGGGCUUGGCAAACUGGUGGACUUGAGUGCCGGAGGGGGAUGCGGAAUUCCUGGUGGAGCGGUGAAAUGCGUAGAGAUCAGGAAGAACGUCGGUGGCGAAGGCGGCAUCCUGGACGAACACUGACGCUGAGGUGCGAGAGCGUGGGGAGCGAACGGGAUUAGAUA
rnacentral:rRNA from 1 species